CCGGAUUUGUUAUAACAUGAGCAACACGACGGGUGCCACAUGUGGAGCAGGAUCUGCUCACCAUUCCGGAGCACGAGAUCACCCCCAGUUUCUGGUGGGGUUCGUGUUGCUUAUUCUUUAGUAGUUUUCUAUGUUGUGACAGGUGUACUAUAAAUUGUCUGUUUUAUCUUUUUCAUUUUUAGCCAUGGCGUUAUCAGUUUAUUUUCGAUAUAUGAGUUUGACUGUCCUUCUAGUAUCUUUCGUCCCUCUUUUACAAAAUAGUAUGACUGACUUUUUUGUUAAGAAAGAAGAUAUUGAUGAAGAUGUUUUCUAUAUUUGCGUAUAAUGUUGGCUUAUGAAUAGAAUUAACGUCCCGUUCCAAUUUCGUGGAAAUUUUACUUAUCCUAAAUUUUAUUGGUUAUACUUGUAGAUCUGAAGCUGAUUUUUGGUACAUCAAUGUAUAAUCUGAUAUGGGGUAUACAUAAACUCAUAAUAGAUACAAGGGCUAAAUUUAGUAUAUACGUCAGACGUGCGUUUCGUCUACAAAAGACUC
rnacentral:lncRNA from 1 species